UACGUAGGGUGCGAGCGUUGUCCGGAAUCACUGGGCGUAAAGCGCACGUAGGCGGCUUUCUAAGUCAGGGGUGAAAUCCUGGAGCUCAACUCCAGAACUGCCUUUGAUACUGGAGAGCUCGAGUCCGGGAGAGGUGAGUGGAACUGCGAGUGUAGAGGUGAAAUUCGUAGAUAUUCGCAAGAACACCAGUGGCGAAGGCGGCUCACUGGCCCGAUACUGACGCUGAGGCACGAAAGCGUGGGGAGCAAACAGG
rnacentral:rRNA from 1 species